rnacentral:pre_miRNA from 1 species
AGAGGGACAGCUGGGUCAAAUGGUGAUUCCAUUCCAAGUUUUCUGAGGAAUCUCCAUACUUCUUUCCAUAUUGGCUGCACCAAUUUGCAGUCCCACCAGCAAU